UACGGAGGGUGCAAGCGUUGUCCGGAAUUACUGGGCGUAAAGCGUGCGUAGGCGGUCUUUUAAGUCUGCUGUGAAAUCCCCGGGCUCAACCUGGGAAUGGCAGUGGAUACUGGGAGGCUAGAGUGUGUCAGAGGAUGGUGGAAUUCCCGGUGUAGCGGUGAAAUGCGUAGAGAUCGGGAGGAACAUCAGUGGCGAAGGCGGCCAUCUGGGACAACACUGACGCUGAGGCACGAAAGCGUGGGGAGCAAACAGG
rnacentral:rRNA from 1 species